UUGCUAUCUGCGAUAUGGAAGAUUCGAACCUGCCGCAGGUUCGGGUCGAACGCAGUGAGACAACGGAGCCGUUUACGGUGACGGCCCGAAGGGCGAGCGAAGCGAGUCAUCCUGCACGACCCACCA
rnacentral:sRNA from 1 species